rnacentral:misc_RNA from 1 species
CAACAUUAAUUGUUCUUUGCAGCUGCUUUAAGUCAUUGAGGGAGAUUGUGCAAUUUUUUAGCAGUUUAUCUGCAAGCUUGUGACAAAAUUAUCCGUGAAGUUAGCAGCUUUUUACCACAACAUUUUAUUAUUAUUUUCUAAACAAGUUUUGAUAAUUGCACUUUUUUCAUAAAAUUAAGACUGUUUAGUCAAUUGCUUGCUUGAUUAUCAGAGAAGCCUCAUAUUUGCCUUACUCUAGUGUAACUAUCUGUUGCUUUAUGAGUUUGGCCUCUGCAAU